CACGUAGUUAGCCGUGGCUUUCUGGUUAGGUACCGUCAAGGUACGAGCAGUUACUCUCGUACUUGUUCUUCCCUAACAACAGAGUUUUACGACCCGAAAGCCUUCAUCACUCACGCGGCGUUGCUCCGUCAGACUUUCGUCCAUUGCGGAGGAUUCCCUA
rnacentral:rRNA from 1 species